CCUCCCCCCCCCCCCCUAUUUUUAUAUGAGUGUGUACGUCAUUCAUCUUCAUUACAAACUGAUCUUUUAUUAUUUUGGCCGUUUUUUUUUGUACUCUAGAAUAGGCUCCUCUUUUAGUUAGUGGAAAGGCAGUAGACACUCUGCCCUUGACUUCUAGGGGGUCUGGGGAGCACUGUGAGUUUCCCCAACAGGGUCCGGGGCUCUGUUCCGGAUCCAAUCAUAUUAAUGGAAUUUAGUGACUGUCAUUUCUUUUGUGUUUGUUUUAAUGAAGAGGUGGGUUUUUAACCUCGAAAUCCCCUGGAGAGUGAUGCUAAGAUCAACCCCCCACCCCCUUUGGCUGCACUGGCUAGAUAAGUAAGUAAAGUUUCCUUUUUAGCCCAUGAGGUCUGGGACAAAUGAUGAUUUGAAACUCACCCCCCCCCCCCCCA